GCUUUGAGAUCUAUUUACCAGGAGUCACGCCAAACACAACCAAACAGAAACAUCACAGACAGACACAGCAAAGGGCUCCAGUCAGGUGGAUGCUCCCUGUGAUGCCAAAGGGAGAUGGGGCAGGGGUGUAGGAAGAGGUUCUCAGUGCUGGAACUUAAGCGAGAUUGCUUAAUGAUUCCUGCAAAGGGAGAUGGGGCUGCCGUUGGAUUUCCUUGUUCCAUUCUGUGGAGGUCGAGAGGCUUGA
rnacentral:lncRNA from 1 species